CAACAGCACAAAUUUCACCACGGAAAACCUCUUUUCCUCUUCUUCUUCCUCAGGUUGCUUCCCAGGGUUCACCUCUGAUGGUCGGUCAGGCGAGUGCUUCCAGCAGCUUCUCAGGCCUGCGCUGCAGAAAUGCGAAUGAGGACUGGAUGUCGGCGCUGUGUCCCCAGCUCUGGGAUGUGCCCCUCCACCACCUCUCCAUCCCAGGGAGCUACGACACCAUGACGUACUGACUCAACAAGAAGUCACCCAUUUCCCAGGAGGAGUCCCGGCUGCUGCAGCUGCUCAACAUGGCCUUCCCCUGCAUCACGCACACCAUGGUGCUGAAUUGGUCCAUCACCCAGGUGCUGGACAUCACGGAGCAGCUGGAUGCCGGCGUGCGGUACUUACACCUGCAGAUUGCCCUCAUGCUGGACGGCUCUGAGAAGAACCUGCAGUUUGUUCACAUGGUAUACACCAUGGCACUGGUGGAGGUACGACCAGGCUGGGGGGAUGCACGGGGAGCGCUCAGGAGGUGGCCGGCCUCCCAUGGGGAACCAGACUGCCAUAGGGACGGGAGGUUCCUGACCUUUAGUGGGAUGACAAUGUCAGCUUCAGGGCCAGACAAGAGACCAGGAGAUGCUGACGCCUGCUGAUCUGUUAGGAGCACUUAUAUUUUUUUCUUUUGGAGAUGGAGUCUCGCUCUGUCACCCAGGCUGGAGUGCAGUGGCUCAAUCUCGGCUCACUACAACCUCCGCCCACCAAGUUCAAGCGAUUCUCCUGCCUCAGCCUCCCAAGUACCCGGGAUUACAGGCACCCACCACCACACCCGGCUAAUUUUCAUAUUUUUAGUAGAGAUGGGGUUUCACCAGGUUGGCCAGGCUGGUCUCGAACUCUUGACCUCAGGUGAUCCGCCUGCCUCAGCCUCUCAAAAUGCUGGGAUUACAGGCGUGAGCCACCACACCUGGCAUUCGGGGGGUUCUUGACCGAUGUGAAUUUCUUCAUUUCUUUUUUUCUUUUUGUUUUCCUUCUACUUUUUUGAGACAGAGUCUUGCUCUGUCGCCCAGGCUGGAGUGCAGUGGCGCAAUCUCAGCUCACUGCAACGUCUUCCUUCCUGUUCAAGCAAUUCUCCUGCCUCAGCCUCUGGAGUAGCUGGGAUUAUAAGCAUGCACCACCACGCCGGGCUAAUUUUUUGUAUUUUUAGUAGAGAUGGGUUUUUACGGUAUUAGCCAGGAUGGUCUUGAUCUCCUGACCUCGUGAUCCAUCCACCUUGGCCUCCCAAAGUCCUAGGAUUAUAGGCGUGAGCCACUGUACCUGGCUUACGGGGACUUCUGCACCAAUGUGCGUUUCUGAGCUUGCUUGGGUUUCUCCUGCAUUUUUCACCAGUUACUUUGGCUAGCUCUGGUCCCCCGGGCUUUGUCAGGCUGUCUGCAC
rnacentral:lncRNA from 1 species